CAGGUGGAUUCCGAAAAACCGAAGAUAGAGUAGGAG
rnacentral:ncRNA from 1 species